GUCCCAUGUGUGGAUUCUUUCUUUAACUCCUCUACCAAACAUCUGCUAGGAUCUCAGAGGUGGAUAGAAGUGAAAUGAAGUGAGAAAAUGAGAAGAAUUAUUGGAUUAUUAUUCUUAAAACUAGAAGGAAUCCCAGGAAGGAAGGAAAUUAAGUAUUUACCAAGAGCAAGGCACUGAGAAAUGCAGAGAACCGUAAUCUAACCAUCAUUAAGGAUAGCAAGCAGUAAAGGAAAUGAACAUAUACCAUGUAACUUUUAAGAGGGACACCUGACCACCUGACCAAAAAGACCAAAUUUGAGAGAAGCACCCCAAAUCUUCUGGCUCCUGAGACAAUGUACUUUCUACUCCAUCAUACUAUAAUCAUCCAACUGACUUUAUGUUACAGGAAACUAAGAAAUGACAUGGAAAAGGAAAUGGCAAACAGCUCCAGUACCUUUGCCAAGAAAACCCUAAAUGGGGUCACAAAGAGUUGGACACAACUGAAAAGUGACUCAAGAACAGUAUAAAUUGCUCCAAGUAGAUGAAUCUCAGUUCUCCUUGUCUUAUCUUCAGAUGCCCAUUCUCCUGUUGUUUUUGCUUUUCUUUUCCUUAUGUGGAAUAUUUGAUUUCUUCUCCUCUGGCUUGAUGUAUUGCAAAGAGUUCUGGUUUAGGGGUUAGAGGAUCUUAGUUAGAACACUGACUUUACAUUUGCUGUGUAUGGGGUGAGAAGGGAGGACUGGCAGCUCUGGUGUGAGGGUCUGCCAACCCUUUUCAGGGCUGCUCAUUCACCUUUGGUAUCUACCUGUCAUCCAGAUCUCACGUUAUUUUAAAAAGCUG
rnacentral:lncRNA from 1 species